GAUGACCUUUGGCGGCGUGCUUAACACAUGCAAGUCGAACGGAACUCUCUGGAAAGAGGCUUCGGCCAAUUGAAUUUGAGUUUAGUGGCGGACGGGUGAGUAACGCGUGAGGAACCUGCCUCAAAGAGGGGGACAACAGUUGGAAACGACUGCUAAUACCGCAUAACCCCACGACCCGGCAUCGGGAAGAGGGAAAAGGAGCAAUCCGCUUUGAGAUGGCCUCGCGUCCGAUUAGCUAGUUGGUGAGGUAACGGCCCACCAAGGCGACGAUCGGUAGCCGGACUGAGAGGUUGAACGGCCACAUUGGGACUGAGACACGGCCCAGACUCCUACGGGAGGCAGCAGUGGGGAAUAUUGCACAAUGGGGGAAACCCUGAUGCAGCGACGCCGCGUGGAGGAAGAAGGUCUUCGGAUUGUAAACUCCUGUUGUUGAGGAAGAUAAUGACGGUACUCAACAAGGAAGUGACGGCUAACUACGUGCCAGCAGCCGCGGUAAAACGUAGGUCACAAGCGUUGUCCGGAAUUACUGGGUGUAAAGGGAGCGCAGGCGGGCGAUCAAGUUGGAAGUGAAAUCCAUGGGCUCAACCCAUGAACUGCUUUCAAAACUGGUCGUCUUGAGUAGUGCAGAGGUAGGCGGAAUUCCCGGUGUAGCGGUGGAAUGCGUAGAUAUCGGGAGGAACACCAGUGGCGAAGGCGGCCUACUGGGCACCAACUGACGCUGAGGCUCGAAAGUGUGGGUAGCAAACAGGAUUAGAUACCCUGGUAGUCCACACCGUAAACGAUGAUAAGAGGUGUUGGGAGAUUGACCCUUUCAGUGCCGCAGUUAACCCAAUAAGUAAUCCCCCUGGGGAGUACGACCGCAAGGUUGAAACUCAAAGGAAUUGACGGGGGCCCGCACAAGCAGUGGAGUAUGUGGUUUAAUUCGACGCAACGCGAAGAACCUUACCAAGUCUUGACAUCCUCUGACGAACGUAGAAAUACGUUUUCUCUUCGGAGCAGAGAGACAGGUGGUGCAUGGUUGUCGUCAGCUCGUGUCGUGAGAUGUUGGGUUAAGUCCCGCAACGAGCGCAACCCUUAUGGUCAGUUACUACGCAAGAGGACUCUGGCCAGACUGCCGUUGACAAAACGGAGGAAGGUGGGGAUGACGUCAAAUCAUCAUGCCCUUUAUGACUUGGGCUACACACGUACUACAAUGGCGUUAAACAAAGAGAAGCAAGACCGCGAGGUGGAGCAAAACUCAGAAACAACGUCCCAGUUCGGACUGCAGGCUGCAACUCGCCUGCACGAAGUCGGAAUUGCUAGUAAUCGUGGAUCAGCAUGCCACGGUGAAUACGUUCCCGGGCCUUGCACA
rnacentral:rRNA from 1 species